AGAAGCAAAUCCUCACCUAAACUUCAAUCCUUGAUAACUUUUGAUCCGGAUCUCCGAUCGCUGCACCGUUUGCGGCCAUGCAUCCUCAGCGUUGAACUCUACAAGGCGCAAUACCUUUCAAGGAUCAAAUUGAGUUGAGGAAUGAGCGGGCUUUGGUUUGAUUGAGGCACAUACAAGAUGCAGGUCAAGAGGCUCCUCGCUAGACGUCUGGAUUCCUGAAGCGAAGUAGUCCCUGAGAUAUUUUGGGUUUAUGUUUGUAUAUAU